CCUACGGGAGGCAGCAGUGAGGAAUAUUGGUCAAUGGACGAGAGUCUGAACCAGCCAAGUCGCGUGAAGGAUGACUGCCCUAUGGGUUGUAAACUUCUUUUAUAUGGGAAUAAAAUGUUCCACGUGUGGGAUUUUGUAUGUACCAUAUGAAUAAGGAUCGGCUAACUCCGUGCCAGCAGCCGCGGUAAUACGGAGGAUCCGAGCGUUAUCCGGAUUUAUAGGGUUUAAAGGGAGCGUAGGUGGAUUGUUAAGUCAGUUGUGAAAGUUUGCGGCUCAACCGGGAAAUUGCAUUUGAAACUGGCAGUCUGGAGUGCGGUAGAGGUAGGCGGAAUUCGUGGUGUAGCGGUGAAAUGCUUAGAUAUCACGAAGAACUCCGAUUGCGAAGGCAGUUCACUGGACUGCAACUGACACUGAGGCUCGAAAGUGUGGGUAUCAAACAGGAUUAGAUACCCGAGUAGUC
rnacentral:rRNA from 1 species